UGAUAGAACUCUGGAGAGAUUUAUACAAAAAAGCACCGAAGGGGCAAUUCCUAAUCGUUAGGAGAUCUAUACAGAAUUUACCAAAAGAAAUACUUUCUAUUUUUAUGGGAAGAAUCUUUCAGGUAAAAAGGACAGAGUAAAGAAG
rnacentral:ncRNA from 2 species